UGUAGAGGCGGCAGGGUAGCCUAGUGGGUAGAGUGUAGAGGAGGCAGGGUAGCCUAGUGGUUAGAGUGUAGAGGCGGCAGGGUAGCCUAGUGGUUAGAGUGUAGAGGAGGCAGGUAGCCUAGUGGUUAGAGUGUAGAGGUGGCAGGUAGCCUAGUGGUUAGAGUGUAGAGGAGGCAGGUAGCCUAGUGGUUAGAGUGUAGAGGAGGCAGGUAGCCUAGUGGUUAGAGUGUAGAGGAGGCAGGGUAGCCUAGUGGUUAGAGUGUAGAGGCGGCAGGGUAGCCUAGUGGUUAGAGUGUAGAGGAGGCAGGGUAGCCUAGUGGUUAGAGUGUAGAGGUGGCAGGGUAGCCUAGUGGUUAGAGUGUAGAGGAGGCAGGUAGCCUAGUGGUUAGAGUGUAGAGGAGGCAGGGUAACCUAGUGGUUAGAGUGUAGAGGAGGCAGGGUAGCCUAGUGGUUAGAGUGUAGAGGAGGCAGGGUAACCUAGUGGUUAGAGUGUAGAGGAGGCAGGGUAACCUAGUGGUUAGAGUGUUGAGGAGGCAGGGUAACCUAGUGGUUAGAGUGUAGAGGAGGCAGGGUAACCUAGUGGUUAGAGUGUAGAGGAGGCAGGUAGCCUAGUGGUUAGAGUGUAGGGGCGGCAGUGUAGCCUAGUGGUUAGAGUGUAGGGGUGGCAGGGUAGCCUAGUGGUUAGAGUGUAGAGGAGGCAGGUAGCCUAGUGGUUAGAGUGUAGGGGGCGGCAGGGUAGCCUAGUGGUUAGAGUGUAGAGGAG
ensembl:lncRNA